rnacentral:ncRNA from 18 species
UAUUAGCUCAGUUGUUUAGAGCCACCCCUGAUAAGGGUGAGGACCCAGGUUCAAAUCCUGGAUG